rfam:Capsicum annuum cultivar Zunla-1 chromosome 8, whole genome shotgun sequence
CAGAGAAAAGUCUGUCAAUAUAGCUAAAGACGACUGCCUAGUAACACUAUUAACUACUCCAUAUAAAAUGGAGGAAGAUAGCACAUUAGGCAAGUCAUCCUUGGCUAAUUAACAGUGCCUUUCCUU